rnacentral:rRNA from 1 species
UCUGGAAGAAGUCUGGAGACAGGUGCUGCAUGGCUGUCGUCAGCUCGUGUCGUGAGAUGUUGGGUUAAGUCCCGCAACGAGCGCAACCCUUGCCUUUAGUUGCCAGCAGUUCGGCUGGGCACUCUAAAGGGACUGCCGGUGUUAAACCGGAGGAAGGUGGGGAUGACGUCAAGUCCUCAUGGCCUUUAUGACCAGGGCUACACACGUACUACAAUGGCCGAUACAAAGGGCAGCGACACUGCGAGGUGAAGCCAAUCCCGUAAAAUCGGUCUCAGUCCGGAUUGGAGUCUGCAACUCGACUCCAUGAAGUUGGAAUCGCUAGUAAUCGUGGAUCAGCAUGCCACGGUGAAUACGUUCCCGGGCCUU